rnacentral:rRNA from 1 species
AUGUCAUCUAUCAAACUGGUGUUGGUGUGUUGGAAUGUGCGCGGCUUGAAUAGCCCGACGAAGAAGAAGGCGCUAUGUGAAUUUGCGGACUCGGCGCACCCGGCUAUUUUUUGUAUCCAGGAGACUAAGCUAGCUUGUAUUAACACAUUUACGGUUAUGCAAUGCCUUGGUCCAUCGUAUGAUGGGUUUUACUUCUUGCCGGCUUCGGACACGAGGGAUGGGAUUCUUUUAGCUUGGAACUCGGUGUUGGUAAACAUUUCGGACUAUGUCAGAGACACGCAUUGCAUCACAAGGUAUGUUUCUCCGAUUGAUGGUACGCCUUGGUGGCUCACAAUGGUCUAUGGACCACAGGAGGAUCAGGAGAAGACGUUGUUCCUUGAGGAGCUAGCAUCUAGGAGGGAGCUGUGUCCAGGUGCUUGGAUGGUGAUCAGCGACUUUAACAUGAUACUCCAAGCACUACAAAAAAAAAGACACAUCUGUGACAUUUUGGGCCGAACGAAUUUUUUUCCUGUCAUAUAUAUGACACUUCUAUGA